rnacentral:rRNA from 1 species
CCUACGGGGGGCAGCAGUGAGGAAUAUUGGUCAAUGGGCGGAAGCCUGAACCAGCCAAGUAGCGUGCAGGAUGACGGCCCUACGGGUUGUAAACUGCUUUUAUACGGGAAUAACGCGCCUUACGUGUAGGGCUUUGCAUGUACCGUAUGAAUAAGGACCGGCUAAUUCCGUGCCAGCAGCCGCGGUAAUACGGAAGGUCCGGGCGUUAUCCGGAUUUAUUGGGUUUAAAGGGAGCGUAGGCCGCAUGUCAAGCGUGCUGUGAAAUGUCCGGGCUCAACCCGGGCCUUGCAGCGCGAACUGGCGUGCUCGAGUCCGCGGAAAGCAGGCGGAAUUCGUCGUGUAGCGGUGAAAUGCUUAGAUAUGACGAAGAACCCCGAUUGCGAAGGCAGCUUGCUGCAGCGGAACUGAUGCUGAUGCUCGAAAGCGCGGGUAUCGAACAGGAUUAGAUACCCCAGUAGUC